rnacentral:rRNA from 1 species
CCUACGGGGGACAGCAGUGGGGAAUAUUGGGCAAUGGGCGAAAGCCUGACCCAGCAAUGCCGCGUGAAUGAAGAAGGUCUUAGGAUUGUAAAAUUCUGUCCUAUGGGAAGAAAAAAAUGACGGUACCAUAGGAGGAAGCCCCGGCUAACUACGUGCCAGCAGCCGCGGUCAUACGUAGGAUCCGAGCAUUAUCCGGAGUGACUGGGUGUAAAGAGUUGCGUAGGUGGCAUAAUAAGUAGCUAGUGAAAUCUGGUGGCUCAACCAUUCAGACUAUUAGCUAAACUGUUAAGCUCGAGACCGUUAGGGGUAACUGGAAUUUCUAGUGUAGGAGUGAAAUCCGUAGAUAUUAGAAGGAACACCAAUAGCGUAGGCAGGUUGCUGGGACGGUUCUGACACUAAGGCACGAAAGCGUAGGGAGCAAACGGGAUUAGAUACCCCAGUAGUC